UACGUAGGGUGCGAGCGUUAAUCGGAAUUGCUGGGCGUAAAGCGUGCGCAGGCGGUGAUGUAAGACAGUUGUGAAAUCCCCGGGCUCAACCUGGGAAUUGCAUCUGUGACUGCAUCGCUAGAGUACGGUAGAGGGGGAUGGAAUUCCGCGUGUAGCAGUGAAAUGCGUAGAUAUGCGGAGGAACACCGAUGGCGAAGGCAAUCCCCCUGGACCUGUACUGACGCUCAUGCACGAAAGCGUGGGGGAGCAAACAGG
rnacentral:rRNA from 1 species